CCUACGGGAGGCAGCAGUAGGGAAUAUUGCUCAAUGGGGGAAACCCUGAAGCAGCAACGCCGCGUGGAGGAUGAAGGUUUUCGGAUUGUAAACUCCUUUUGUUAGGGAAGAUAAUGACGGUAUCUAACGAAUAAGCACCGGCUAACUCCGUGCCAGCAGCCGCGGUAAUACGGAGGGUGCAAGCGUUACUCGGAAUCACUGGGCGGAAAGAGCGCGUAGGCGGGAUAGCACGUCAGAUGUGAAAUCCUGUGGCUUAACGAUAGAAUUGCAUUUGAAACUGUUAUUCUAGAGUAUGGGAGAGGUAGGUGGAAUUCUUGGUGUAGGGGUAAAAUCCGUAGAGAUCAAGAGGAAUACUCAUUGCGAAGGCGGCCUGCUAGAACGUAACUGACGCUGAUGCGCGAAAGCGUGGGGAGCAAACAGGAUUAGAUACCCGUGUAGUC
rnacentral:rRNA from 1 species